UUCCACUCCUUCUGUAGAUUUCCUUAUGACUUGGAGCCCAGAGACAAGCAGAGACAUCACGGGCCCAUAAUUAUAGAGCCCUGGGGACAGCCUGUCCUUCUUGUGUUUGGAGUGCGCUUCAGCUGGAAUAGGACAGACAAUGCGUGUGGAGGCGGCCAACCCUCUCAUUUUAAUGAAAUCCACACUUCCGGUGUACAGCGAAGAAGCCGGGCUCUGAGGAGACAGAGUCCUGUCGAAGCUCCUCCAUCUGAGCCUCCAUCCCCUCUGUCUAAUGGACCUUGCUUUCCGCGGUACCCUUCCUCUUCUGGAUUACCUGUUCACUCCCUUCUGGACAUCCUCUGGGGCCAAUCUAGAACAUUCUCUGGCCCACAGGAGGACAUAAUGCAAGCAUCAGUAACUGAAGAUGGGAUUUUGCUUCUCUUCUGUUUUCCUCAAUCACAUCACGGUCACAAAAAUCACAACAGGAAACUCCUCACGAGCAGGGUGGUGCUCCCUGCCCGCCUCACCCUGAGUCGUGCAUGAGGACUCACUGCUCGAAGAUCAGCAUCUGAGGUGGUGUCUCUUCCUUCCCACUAAGGAAUCCCUUCUCUCAUGCUGAAAAUGGCCACAGGAACAAAAAUGGUUCAAAACGAAGCCAUUCUCAUGAUAAAGACAGUAAUGAGGACAAAAAAUGGCACAAAAUCAAUUUAUUCUCAUGACAACCUUAAGAUUGUAAUGAGGACAAGAAAAACAGUCUGAAAUUUAUCAAUUCUUGUGACAAUCUUGAGACGGUAAUGAAAGCAGCAAAUGGUAUGAAAUUGGCCUACUCUCCUGACAGACAGUGAAACAAAACCGGAAAAUAGCACCAUGUUUAUCUACCUCCUUGACAACCCGGGCAUGGGGACAAAAACAGAAAAGGUGACGAGAUUAACCCAUUCCUGUCAAAAAUAAUCUUGAAAGGGUGGCCUCCACAUGUCCUUUAAAAAUGACCCCCCCACUGAAAUGAGUUCCAUGUGUGAGCAUCGCACCUCGCUGUGGGUUGACGUUCUUCUGGCUUCACCUCAGAGCUGAUGGCCAUGCUUCCUUAUGAGGGAAGGAAAAUGAAUGUGUGUAGAGGGGCAAGGCGGCCAUCGUUCUCCAUCAGCGUCUAUCUGGCGGUCUCAGAGUGCCCUGGCAAUGUGGACUUACCAAAAAUCAACUGGGAAGGUGCAUAUGCAUUGGAAUGGUACCAAUACUCAUUCUAGAAACAUCCAUGAGGGCUUCAAGUGAUGAGGGGACUGGAGGAUGCAGGCAUCUCUAGGAUUCAGUGAAACACUGCGGCAGCAUAUUUCUUAGAAGAAUGGAGUGUUUUGGCUUGUGAUAACUGAACCAGUCUCUGGGGUUUCCCCGUCUGCAUGCCUUGAGCACAUCCCUGAGGGAGAAGGAUGCACCAGCAGAACGAGUGCUCACUGCAGUGCUUCUGGGUGCUGGUUAAUAAUUCAGAGUGAUGUUCAGUAGGUCUGGAAGUGGGGGCCAGGAACAUGCACUUCAAAAAGGGACUGUCAUUCCUGAACACACCGAAGUUUGAGAAACAUUGAUUUACUGUGUGCGGAGGUGGUGGCUUGAAGCACCUGGAUUUAUGAUUCCAAAUCAAAGGCCCCACUCACUAAUUCCUUCCUGCUCAAACUGCCAUGUUCCACCCUUGACAUCACUGAUGAAUAAGCAGUGGAGGGCCAAGUUUUGAUGUCAAGUCAGGUGCCAGUCAGCUUUCACUGGGCUUCUAAUAAUUAUUGAUGACUGAUGAAUGACAGGAAUAAUGGCUUGCUCUGCUCGGCUGGCAACUCUCAGAUAAUAAAGAGAUGGAAGCCC